rnacentral:rRNA from 1 species
UACGGAGGGUGCGAGCGUUAUUCGGAAUUACUGGGCGUAAAGCGCGUGUAGGCGGGGAUGCAAGUCUGAUGUGAAAGCCCCGGGCUUAACCUGGGAAGUGCAUUGGAAACUGCAUUUCUUGAGUGCUGGAGAGGAAGGGGGAAUUCCCGGUGUAGAGGUGAAAUUCGUAGAGAUCGGGAGGAAUACCAGUGGCGAAGGCGCCCUUCUGGACGGCAACUGACACUGAGACGCGAAAGCGUGGGGAGCAAACACG